GCCUCUAUAGCUCAAUGGAGUAGAGCAGCGCUCUUCGAAAGCGAAGGUUCUAGGUUCGAGUCCUAGUAGAGGCG
rnacentral:tRNA from 1 species